rnacentral:lncRNA from 1 species
AUUCCGUGUCAACAAAAUCACAGGUGAUUACAUCUAUUCUGAUGGCAGGAAUAAUUAUAAUUUAAUUAAUUAGUCUUUCUUUCUUCUGAAAUAGUAGGCUGUAGGAAGAGGAAACCAUGUUAAUUGUUCUCUAUUCCUGCUGAUAUUUCACAACCUGUCAAAAUCUCAAGUCUGCCAGGACAGGGACACAUCUUAGGUUGGCAAAAAUGAUUCAUAAGGAUGGUGGUCACCUAAUGUUUCAGCUUUCACUCUCCCGGUAAGUUUUCGCAUUUAGCAAUUUUUACCCAUCUCAAGCAUAGCACAAUUCAAUUCCUAUCUAUUAUUAGAGAAAGGAUGGAUAUUUCUCUUUCAUGCCAAAGGAAAUGCAAAACAAAAAGUCUAAGUCAAAGCACAGACACAUUUAUAUGACAAUUAAAGAUUCUUCAUCAGGAUUAAUUGAGCAUCAUUGGGCCAGGACUUGGACAAAAACCCAAACAUAUUUUUAGAUAUCAAUGGACAAGCAUUAUGUGCAUAAUUGUUACAUGUAAAAUUACUUACUGAAUGCAUGAAUAUAAAGCAAUGAAAGGAGUAGGAUGAGAACCACCAUGGAAGGGCAUCCUUUAAGAGUAAAGACAUAAUUUUCAGAUGCAGGCUUACUUGCUAGAAAUGGUGUUCAACCUCUUUCAGUUAAUUUCAGCAAUAAUUUAGUGGUCACUUACGUUUGCUCCUGACAACUCAACGCUUUCUGCUUCCAUCUACAUCAGCGAACCUGGCAUUUUGCCUUGCAGAACCUACCUGAUUCUCAUCUAUCUCACUCUUGUUAUCAGCAGGUUGUUGUUCCCCCGGAUAAGAUUCCACAUCUUCCCUUGAUACUGCAGUUUUAGGACCAUCUCCUUCUAUCUCUGAAUUAUGCUUGACCUUAUCAUAUUCCAGGCUAAAACUUGUGUUGGAAACCACAUUGCCACUGAGAUCCUUCUUUCUUUCUCCUUCUAUCUCUGCUUCAUCCUUCUAUCUCUGCUUCAUCCUCGACCUUAGCAUACUCCUGGCACCUUAUCAUACUUCGGUUAUAAAUCCUGUUAGCAACCACUGAGAUCCUUCUUGCUUUCUCCUUUCUCUGCUUCAUCCUUGACCCUAGCAUACUCCUGGCUAAAACUCACAUUGGCAACCACAUCUCCACCGGGAUCCUGACUGCGUUCUCCUUCCAUAUUUGCAUUGUCCUUGGCCUUAACAUACUCCUGGCUAAAACUUGUUUUCCCAACCACAUGACCACUGAGAUCCUUCUUGCUUUUUCUGGAGUGAAAUUAUGCUGUUAUGUGAAAACCAUCUAUAGGCUUGACCUCAAGUUCAAAUUUCUCUUUCUUCAAGUCUAGCUCUUCUACGUCACCAUCAUCGUAGUUUACAGUAUGAAGUAUCUUCCUCUCUAUUGAAGGAUUUAAUUCUUCCUGCAAACUAUUUUCCCGAGUCUGGCCAGUAAACUUUCAUUCUCAUUGCCACAAUCCUUUCAAUGUCGUUCUCAUUCAAAUGCACCAUCUGGAAUGAAGGUACCUCUUCCUUGGGCGAAGCCUGGAUGAACAUUUGUCAGUAGGAGAUGCGAUAGCAAUUUCAACAUCUGCACUGCGCUUUCUCUUUUUCUGCUCCUUUGUAACAUUAAGAUUCUGUUCCUCUCCGGUGACAUUUGGCAUUUCAGCUUCUUCAUUUCCCUGUUGGCAUCUUCCUUUAUCUGUUCCCUUAUCAACUUUUACUUCUUGAAUUUCCUCGUCACUCCCCAAACCUGGUCUUCAUUACACAGACUAGGAGCUUAAGGCACUUUAACUUCGUUGAACUUAAAUACUGACCUUGCAAAGAACAACUAAUUCAUAAAACAAAUAAAAUAAAUUCAGCACAGGUGAUGUAGUUACUUCGUACUGCCAAAGGAGUCAGCCAUUAACACAUCCAUGGUAACUUGCAUCUAUACACCCCAAAUAACAAAAACUCUAUUACUCAAAGAAACAGACUAAAUUGCUGCAAAUAAAGACUCAAGUUUUCUGGAAAGAAGGGAUUUGAAAUAUCAGAACAGUGGGAUGCUGGGAUUUUCAGUUUUACUGCUAUUGCUAACACAAGAUUUAGUAUCAAAUCUUCACAUAGAAAAACUUUUGAACACGAUAAUCGGAUCCCCAAAGAUACUGAUUUUCAGUGCAAAAGAUUGCACGAUUUUGAAGCUCAAGAACUUAAUCCAAAGGAGUCCUGAAUUUCAACAAUAUUGAAUUUUUUACAGCUCCUAUGAUAAAAUUCGUGUCCAAAGAACAGAGUAAACCAUAGGCGUGGGCAAAGAGGCACACACAACAAUGUAAUAGACAAUGACUAAACGAACAAGAAACUAAUGGUGUUACUAACUACCACAGCAAUUUUACCAGGGCCUUUUUCUAAUAUCUGAGAAAUCGGCAUAAACAAUCAAGGAUUAAGCACACGAUAAGAAAACGAGAGAAAAACAAAAACCCACCACAAGAAUUGUACACCUGCAGAAAAACAAGUACUUAUCAAACAAAUAAAUAACCAAAAAAAUUGGUAAAAAAGGCGAGUUUGAUCAAACCUCAUUAGAAUGCUAGAAUGUGAGAGCAAAAACAAGAAAGCCCGGAAUUGUGUGAAGUCCUGAAAAGUAAAGGCCUAAGCCCCAUUGCAUGGACUGAUGCACUGAGGCGGGAUAUGAUUCUGUACUUGCUUAAGACUAAGGAGCACCAAAAGGACAAAAGAGGUGCAGUUUUCAAAGGUACAACUGCCAAGAAAGGGCGGGAACCAAAUGACACUUGGUGCUUCUCUUGGCUUAACACACUUUUUUUUCUUUUUCUUUUUUGUUCAAAUGUAUUGUUGUUAGGUACCACAAGUAUAUAUAUGAAGCAUGUUGUUUUUUAUCUGGCAGAAAAUUUUGGAAAUGGAGUAGUUUUCGAAUUAGUAAGGUAGAUGCAAUGAAAGAUAUUGUGUAAACCAGCAUAAUUAAGUUGAAUGGAAAAAUAUUAGCUGCAUUAUGUGGGUUACGUGUUAAUGCAAAAAUACCAAUUAAAAGCCACAAAGUAUUAUAAGGAGCCAUUUCUCGGUGUCAUGUUUGAAUAGCCCGUCAUCCUUAUUUAAUUAUUUAGUGACAAGUACAUACCGUGUAUUACAUAUGUUCCGCUCAAUAAAAUCUAAGACUUUAAUAGUCAAAUUUAUUUGUAUAUCUAAAUGAGUUCGAGAUUGUGAUCAAAACUUGAGUUGUUUUGGAGUAAAAAUGAUCUUUUUAUGGAGUCAAACAAAUGAUCUUUUUAUGGAGUCAAACUUGAGUCACGUUUGAGUAAUUUGAAUUUUCUAUAAUUAUACUAAUUCAAUCAAACUUAUAUCAGGUAAUAAAAUACACCGUUGUUUAUGUUUGACUUGAUUAGUGAGUGAAUCAAGAUUGCGCAAACUAUUAACAAUUGAGCUUAAUUUAAGUGUAAAACAGCUUGGUUCGUAUUUCAACUCUAAAGAAAAGUGGAUAAAAUUUGCAUAAGGUUUUGGGCAUGUGAAAUUCUUGAUAUCAUUAGUGGCUUUUUUGGGUGUUCAUAGUACAAUGCAUAUCCAUCACAACAUGGUGUAUACCCUUCAAUAUAAAAGUAUUCAGUAAUUAAAAUUUUCUUUGUUUAGCAAUUUAAAUUAUAAAUUUAAAUGCAGACCUCAUAAUACUAGUGCAAAUUUUAUCCUCCUUCGUUUGGCAUUGGCAUCUACCAAUUAUAGAUUUCUAUACCUAAUCCAUUCGUCCAACUCUCUACCAAAUAAAAAAAAAGGGAUAGUGACUAUAUACUUUGUAAAAAUAAUAUGCCAAGUGCAGGAAAAGUGAGUAUAUGUAGUAAGGGUAAUUAUCUUAUUCUUAACCGAAUUCCAAUGGGGAACUAACUUUGUUACUGGGGGAAGAGAAACUAGAGCGAAUUAGACGUUACAUUUUUAGCUUAGAAUAAUACCUUUUUGUGUUUCAAAAUCCAAACUUUGUUAAUGGGGAGUGUGUUGAGUAUUCUUCCUUAAACGCCUAGACUAAGUCACUUAGUUGGACAAGAAAAGGAGAAGUUAAUUGAUAGUAGCACAAAAAAUUGUGUGUGAGAUUAUUUUUGGAAUGGUCACACUCUAUGGUACCUAACAAGCUAAGUGUAGUUAUAUAUUAUUUGAAGAAAAAGAGAAAAAUUUAACUUGUACAAAAAAAUGAAUAUAGAAAAAUUGGAAAAACAUUUUUUAGGAAGUCAAGAGGAAAACUUGUACUCUUGGCACCUGUAAUCCUGUCCACAACUGAUAAUAUUUGAUCACACAAGAAGAAAACUGGCCCUCUUUUGCUCUGAUGCUCCUUCUCCUCGGUACAAAAUCAUGUACUUCCCUCAAUAGUCACUACCCUAAUCUAAUAAAAAAUGGACUUAGGCUUACUUUUGACGACUUCACAAUCCUGCAUUUCUUGUUUUUUGCACCUACAAUCUACUCAGGUUGGUUAAACUCGACUCUUUUUAAUUUUUCUGAACUACUUAAUUGAAUAUUUUCUUUGCAGAUGUACAAUCUUUGUGGUCCUUUUUUCUUCCUUUUUCAUUUUACCCUAUUUCUCUAGAAUUCUGAGAUGUUAGAAAAAGCCCUGGUCAAAAUGUUAUGUCUUACCUUCAAAUUACAGCAUUUUCUUUCAUGAACUUAGAUCUGCAGCCUGAAGUGUAGUUUAAUUGGAAGAGUUGGGGUUGAAUUUGAAAAGAAAGAGCAAAUGGCUAUGUGGAAUAUUAGGAGGUUGACAUUGUAUUAAGAAUGUACUUAUUUAAUAUCAGAACUUGAGAAACGGAAGGCACAGAAGAUUUUAGUGCCUUUUGAGUGCAACAAUCCUGACAAAUGAGAAGAUUUUUUCAAUCUUUUUCCCUUUCAUUCUUUGGUAUCUAGUGGUCAUGAGUAUACACGAUUUUCUCUGCCUUAUAUCAUUUUUAAACUAUAGCCCAAAAUUAUGUACAAAAUCUUGUGUUAGCUGGCAAAAAAUAAUAAAUUUGAAACCCCAGAUUCCACUGUUAUGGUGCUUUAAGUCCUUCCUCUCAGAAAUAUUGUGACAUAUCAUUGAAUGCCUUACGUCCAUCAGUGAUCAGCAUUAAUUACUAUCCAUAUAGAAUAGAGGCUGAAAGAAUUUCUUUCAUUUUUUUGCCAGUUGAGAAUUAGUGAGUUUGUAUGGAGCCUCUAUAUUUUUAGAGAGUUACUUUGAAGAGAUCCUAGGAUGUUACUAGUCAACUAGACAUUGUGUUGAAGAGGAGCUCAAGUGUUUGAAGGACUCCUUGAGUCGCAAACCAUUUCAGCUUAAAGCAUCCACAAUGUUUACACUCUUUAGAGUGUAAUCCACAUGUCACGUCACAUUCUUUUCUCUCUUUUAUUAUACUUUCACUCACAAUGGAUUACACUCUACAAAGUGUAAAGCAUGGAUUCACAAUUAAAUCAAAUAUUUAUUUAUAAUGCCAUAAUUUGCUUUCAUUAUCCCAUAUAAAUAAAGUAUUUUCUUAAAAUAAUUUUGUUAUUUUAAAAAAAUAAAGUAUCAACUUUCAUUAAAUUUUUAACCUUUUGGUUUUUUUUUCUAAAAAAUAAUAUUAUUAAUUUUUAGAAAAGAAAUAAUAGAGUUGUGGAAAAUGAGUGAGAGAGUAAAAAGAAAUAAUAAAGUAAAAUAGUAGGGUAUGAAAAAUAAUGAGUGUGUUGUGUGUUUAUAUAGAGAAUUAAAAUAUAACCGUUGGAAAAAAAUGAACGUUGGUAACUUCAACGUUGCUGGUAUAAAUUUUGUCAUUGCUAAAUUUUGACACUGGACCCAUUACACGCAUUAUCAGAAUGAUGCGUGUAAUGGGCAUUACACGGCCACGAUGGGUGACUAUGUAAUGGACCCGUGUCAUGACAGGCAUUGCAUGCAUCAUUACACUCCGUUGCAGAUGUCCUUAUGAUGAUUGUGGCAAUUUAGAUUGGUUUAUGGACUAUUGGAAUUUUUCAUAUUUGGGGUACAUAAUUAAUAUCUGUGUGCGCGCACGUGUAUAUAUGUCUAUGUAUUCGUAUGUAUGUAUGUAUGUAUGAACUACCAAUAAUAUUGUUAAUGACAGAUUCCUUUGGCAGUUAUGAAGUAAUUACAUCACCUGUGGUGAUUUCCGGUGAAUUGAUUCUGUUUUGCACGGUCAAUCAUCUAGUUCGUUAAGGUGAUCAACCUCGUAGUCUUUUAAUGAAGACUGCUUAUAGGAAAAAGUUGACAAGAAAACAGAUGAAGCAUCAAGAGACAAUAUUAAGGAAAUUGCUUUGAACAAAGGUGGCAACAUCUGAAGAGUUGCAGUUGAAGAAAGAGAAAUUUAAGUAGAAGCAAAACCUGAAGAUAGUUUUCACAUAAAAAAAAAAAUAGAACUCUGCUCCAGAAUAAGCAAGACAUAUUCUCCAUAGGGUAAGUUCAAGAAUAAUGUAAAGAGCGGAAGGUAUAAAAUUCUGAAUCAGCAGAAUCAAAGGCAGGAUUUGAAUGAUCCAGGGAAGCAACCAGAGUCCAGUACAAGUAUUAAUCAAUGGACUGAAAUGGAAAAGUGUAUUAAGCUGCAACUUACAAAUCAAGGUACAAGUUUAGCACUUAGCCUUCUUAACUAUCAAUUACAGUGCUGUAACUUGGUAAAAAGAUCAAAUGUCCGUCCAUUUUGUAGGUAAAACAACAACCACAACCAUUUGCCUUUUGAAUUAUAUAAAUUAUCUACAAAUAUUUUAUUUUCUCUGUGAAUUUAUCUCUUUUUAUAUUCUCUGUAGAGAUAAAUAGCAAGUCAAGAUUAAGAAAAAAAUGAUAAAGUGACUAUUAAAAAGUGCCAAAAGAAC